rnacentral:ribozyme from 14 species
GAAUAAUGGAAAAAAAAAAAAAAACUACACAGAAAAACAGAAAAAUUGACAAGAAGCGAUGGAAACGAGAGGAGAGAUGCUUUGGAUCGGUUGAUUGCUUACGAGCUGCCUCGUUUCCCCCCGUUUUUUCAUAUUUUGUCCUCCUUAUGAUCCCCUGACUU